rnacentral:rRNA from 1 species
UACGUAGGAGGCGAGCGUUGUCCGGAAUUACUGGGCGUAAAGGGCGCGCAGGCGGCCCUCCAAGUCAGGCGUGAAAGCCCCGGGCUCAACCCGGGAAUAGCGCUUGAGACUGGGGGGCUUGAGUUCGGGAGAGGAGAGUGGAAUUCCCAGUGUAGAGGUGAAAUUCGUAGAUAUUGGGAAGAACACCGGUGGCGAAGGCGGCUCUCUGGACCGACACUGACGCUGAGGCGCGAAAGCGUGGGGAGCAAACAGG